rnacentral:rRNA from 1 species
GACGAACGCUGGCGGCGUGCUUAACACAUGCAAGUCGAACGGAAAGGCCCUGCUUUUGUGGGGUGCUCGAGUGGCGAACGGGUGAGUAACACGUGAGUAACCUGCCCUUGACUUUGGGAUAACUUCAGGAAACUGGGGCUAAUACCGUAUCGGAGCUCCUGCUGCAUGGUGGGGGUUGGAAAGUUUCGGCGGUUGGGGAUGGACUCGCGGCUGAUCAGCUUGUUGGUGGGGUAGUGGCUUACCAAGGCUUUGACGGGUAGCCGGCCUGAGAGGGUGACCGGCGACAUUGGGACUGAGAUACGGCGCAGACUCCUACGGGAGGCAGCAGUGGGGAAUAUUGCACAAUGGGCGGAAGCCUGAUGCAGCAACGCCGCGUGCGGGAUGACGGCCUGUGGGUUGUAAACCGCCUUCGCCUGUGACGAAGCGUGAGUGACGGUAAUGGGUAAAGAAGCACCGGCUAACUACGUG